rnacentral:rRNA from 1 species
CAGCCGCCGCGGUAAUACCGGCGGCCCGAGUGGCGGUCACUAUUAUUGGGCUUAAAGCGUCCGUAGCCGGGUUGGGAAGUCCUCCGGGAAAUCUGGCCGCUUAACGGUCAGAAUGCCGGAGGAUACUCCCAGCCUAGGGAGCGGGAGAGGCCGAGGGGAUUCCCGGGGUAGGGGGGAAAUCCUAUAAUCCCGGGAGGACCACCUGUGGCGAAGGCGCUCGGCUGGAACGCGUCCGACGGUGAGGGACGAAGGCCAGGGGAGCAAACCGGAUUAGAUACCCGGGUAGUCCUGGCGGUAAACGAUGCGGACUUUGUGUCGGACAAGCUAUGAGCUUGUCCGGUGCCGGAGGGAAACCGUUAAGUCCGCCGCCUGGGGAGUACGGCCGCAAGGCUGAAACUUAAAGGAAUUGGCGGG